UAUGAAAUGGUGUUGCUCUAGAUCUUAAUGUUAUUAUUAAAGAGAUUGAUAAAAAGUAAUUGGACUAUACAAUGUCAUAUAAGACAAUUGCGAAAGUCUUCAUUUGCCUUUUCGCCAUAAAUAUCAUAUUUAUUAAAGGUAGUGAACCAGUGCUCUUUCUAGCUUUAGAACACGAUGAUGGAAUAAUUUCAUUGGACUUGAACAAUGGAGAUAUUACUGUUAUUGUUGAUGCCGUUUCAAAUGCUGCGAUAGAUUAUCACAAUCGACUUGGUCUGCUAUACUAUACUGAUCUUACUACUCGUGCACUUUCUAGAAUACGUUAUCCACCAAAUGGCAACACAGCUUCUUCUGAGAUAAUAAUACAGGCAUUAGAUGACCACAGGCCUAUUGGUGUGGCGGUUGACAGCAUCAAUAACUAUAUUUACUGGGCUGAUGACUAUGCCGAUUCAAUAACAAAAGCAGAUCUAUGCGGAUUUAAUCAACGUGUUAUUCUACAGGACUCUAGUAUAAACAAAAUACUAGGGAUAGCUUUGGACACCGAAAACAGUGUGAUAUAUUUUACUGACAAUGGCGCUGGAAAAAUUGAAAAAAUCGGUUUGGAUGGUUCAAACAGACAAACUCUGUACUCAAAUGCCGACUUUCCGAAUCUAAUAUAUAUAGGUAAAGUAAAAUUUACACAAGCAUCAAGCUUAAAAGCACAUGCCUUUUGUUGGUAUUGAAAACAUGUUACUCCUCAAUAUGUACCAUAUAAUUUUUUUAGUCUAGUUUUUUUUCACUUUACCCGUUUCUCUUGCAAAAUAUUGUAUGCUUUUAACGCAGUUAUUUGUGGACAAGUAAAAUUUAUUUUAUAGACACACGCCAAGGCACAUGGUGCUUUCGUGUAAAAAGAUUUCAACGUAUGCAUUUUGUUAAAUAAGUCACUUAAGUUUAAACAAAGUAUUCCAAUACUUAAAAAACCUACACUGAAAUUUUCGUGCAUGUUACAUAGUUUUAACAGCAUGAAGAAUAAUAGAAAUCAUGUACUUUUAUUUAUCACGGUGUUCUCCAGAUUCCCGCCAUAAUGUUAACUGACAAAAGAUCACGUAUAAACACGUAUCCCAUAACUAUCAUACAAUUGAUUUGAGUUAUCUUUCAUGGUUUUGAUAUAGUGAUAAUUAUUUUUGCAAUUAUCUUUGUAGAUGAACAUGAUGAAAGCUUUAUCAUUCUAUAUCUUAAAAGCUUAAUUCUUCGUUAUCUGAUGUUUUUUUCUCUCUUUCUUUAUGUAUUAUCUAUAUUUUUAAAGGUGGGAGUAAUUUUUAGAGGAUAUUUUACUGACAAAUUCACGACUCUUGGACUGGACUGGACUGGACUAUAGACUGGAC